CCUACGGGAGGCAGCAGUGGGGAAUUUUGGACAAUGGACGCAAGUCUGAUCCAGCCAUUCCGCGUGCAGGAUGAAGGCCCUCGGGUUGUAAACUGCUUUUGUACGGAACGAAAAGGUCUCUAUUAAUACUAGGAGCUCAUGACGGUACCGUAAGAAUAAGCACCGGCUAACUACGUGCCAGCAGCCGCGGUAAUACGUAGGGUGCAAGCGUUAAUCGGAAUUACUGGGCGUAAAGCGUGCGCAGGCGGUUAUGUAAGACAGAGGUGAAAUCCCCGGGCUCAACCUGGGAACGGCCUUUGUGACUGCAUAGCUAGAGUACGGUAGAGGGGGAUGGAAUUCCGCGUGUAGCAGUGAAAUGCGUAGAUAUGCGGAGGAACACCGAUGGCGAAGGCAAUCCCCUGGACCUGUACUGACGCUCAUGCACGAAAGCGUGGGGAGCAAAC
rnacentral:rRNA from 1 species